GCUGGUGAUUCAUCGCCGUGGCACCACCCGUUCUCAUUCCGAACACGGAAGUGAAACGCGGUUGAGCCGAUGAUACUCACAAGGGGAAAGUAGGCAGUCGCCAGCG
rnacentral:rRNA from 1 species